rnacentral:rRNA from 1 species
CCUACGGGAGGCAGCAGUGGGGAAUCUUGCGCAAUGGGCGAAAGCCUGACGCAGCCAUGCCGCGUGAAUGAUGAAGGUCUUAGGAUUGUAAAAUUCUUUCACCGGGGACGAUAAUGACGGUACCCGGAGAAGAAGCCCCGGCUAACUUCGUGCCAGCAGCCGCGGUAAUACGAAGGGGGCUAGCGUUGCUCGGAAUUACUGGGCGUAAAGGGAGCGUAGGCGGACAUUUAAGUCAGGGGUGAAAUCCCGGGGCUCAACCUCGGAAUUGCCUUUGAUACUGGGUGUCUUGAGUAUGAGAGAGGUGUGUGGAACUCCGAGUGUAGAGGUGAAAUUCGUAGAUAUUCGGAAGAACACCAGUGGCGAAGGCGACGCACUGGCUCAUUACUGACGCUGAGGCUCGAAAGCGUGGGGAGCAAACAGGAUUAGAUACCCUGGUAGUCCACGCCGUAAACGAUGAUUGCUAGUUGUCGGGAUGCAUGCAUUUCGGUGACGCAGCUAACGCAUUAAGCAAUCCGCCUGGGGAUACGGUCGCAAGAUUAAAACUCAAAUGAAUUGACGG